rnacentral:ncRNA from 1 species
AAACGGUUAUGGUUGCCAUUCGGCAUGAAAAGGGAAUACGGUGCAAAACCGUAACAGCCCCCGUUACUGUGAGAAGGACGAACGCUUUUCGCUGAGGACAAGCCCUCAUAUCACUGAGAAAUCGGGAAGAUAAAAAGCAAGUAGGAUGAAUUCAAGUCAGGAGACCUGCCAUAUCCG